GCCUAUGGCACAAUGGGUCAGUGCAUCUGACUGCUAAUCAGAAGGUUGGUGGUUCGAUGCCACACAGGGACA